rnacentral:lncRNA from 1 species
AUGGAUUGAACAUGAUGUGGUACUUGGAGCAUAUCUUUCACUCCAGAAGUCUAAUUGACAUGAUUCUUGAGCCAUUAAAAAAUUAAAAGACAGGGAUAAAUCUUUCAUGUUUACCAUGUUGCCCAGUUUGGAUCAUAUCAAGGUGCAAAUUGCAUUGGACAAUGCUCAACAGAUGCAGUUCAACACAAGGCAGUAGGGCGACUAAGGCCGCGACGUUGAAGGAACCACUGCCUCAGCGCUGGAAAUUUGUGGCUGCCGCACUAGGCUAAAUGGGUGCAUCAUACAAAAAUCGGAGAGCCCUGUGCCAUGGCGUUAAAGAAGUAGUGUCGUGGUGCUACCAAAGUCUGUCUUGGCGCCGUAGUGCCAAGAAAUCAUGGCAGCGACGCUACCCCUAGUCCUGUUGUUAUCUACUAAAAUUAACGCAUCUUAAUUUUAUUCAAACAACCAAAUUAAAUUAUUA